ACGAACGCUGGCGGCGUGCCUAAUACAUGCAAGUCGAGCGAAGUUUUUCUGGUGCUUGCACUAGAAAAACUUAGCGGCGAACGGGUGAGUAACACGUAAAGAACCUGCCUCAUAGACUGGGACAACUAUUGGAAACGAUAGCUAAUACCGGAUAACAGUAUUUCUCGCAUGAGAGAUAUUUAAAAGUUGGUUAUGCUAACACUAUGAGAUGGCUUUGCGGUGCAUUAGCUAGUUGGUGGGGUAAAGGCCCACCAAGGCGACGAUGCAUAGCCGACCUGAGAGGGUGAUCGGCCACACUGGGACUGAGACACGGCCCAGACUCCUACGGGAGGCAGCAGUAGGGAAUCUUCCGCAAUGGGCGAAAGCCUGACGGAGCAACGCCGCGUGAGUGAAGAAGGAUUUCGGUUCGUAAAGCUCUGUUGUUAGGGAAGAAUGGAUAUGUAGUAACUAUACAUGUAAGAGACGGUACCUAACCAGAAAGCCACGGCUAACUACGU
rnacentral:rRNA from 1 species